rnacentral:ncRNA from 2 species
GGAGUAACUAUGACUCUCUUA